ACUCUCCACUCCGAGGCUUAGGGAGCAAGUGCUUGGUGUGGGGGGAAAGUUGGCCUUUUUUUUUUUUAACCUCCUUGGUCUUUUGCGGCUUUCUUCCCCAGAAGGGGAGAUCCUGUAUAAACUAUUUCAUAUGCAAUCAAGCAAGGAUCACCGUGUGGAACUGAGCGGCAGUUUUAAAUGUGCUAAGGAGAGGAAUGAUGUGAAUUUCUUCUUUUUUUUCUUCUUCUUCUUUCUUUUUUGAGAUGCCUCAAGGAGCCUGUUUGUGUGCUGUGACCUCUCUGUGACUGGAUCUUGUCUUCUGCCUGGCACCUUGGUUCCUGUCCGGCUGGAUUUGGGGGGCAAUACUGCCUGGCGCAGAAAGAUCAAAUGAGACUACAAAGAAACAUAAAAUGAAUACGAAUAGACUAUCCAACCAACAGAAGACCGGGGGCAGCAGCACUCCAGCAAGAAGGCAUCUUCGCUUCCCCAGCCUAGAAGCCCUGUGAAAUCGAGGAUUUUCCCCCUAAAUCACUCACAUACAAGAUAUGUGCAACCAAGCUGCCAUCACUUGGUAAAAAGCUCCUGCUGCCUAACCCAAAAGGAUCGGGAGCAGAUCCUUGAAUCAGCUGUCACUUCUAUAGAAUGGGAUUUUCCCCCCUUCCUCCUUAACCAGCGCUGGAAAUUGCCAUUGGCUUUAUACAUCUCUAUAGAGGAAGGCUAAAGAGUCUUGCGUGAGAAUGAAGCAAUUUACAAUGCAAAUAGAGGCCUGUGAAGGGAUGGAUGCUGCUGCCCACUGCUAACAGCUUGCUGCACCUUAAUAGCUGGUUUUAUUUUCUGAUAUUAAUAGAUGAAUUGUUGGCUAACACUCCCGGAGAUUACUUGCUGGAAGGGGAAAAAAAAAGUUUGGAAUAAACUCAGAAGGCAACAGCUCUCAUUUGGAUGAUUUAGCCGCACACACACAAACAGAAACCAGGUCAUAUUUUCAUAAAAAGAAGAAUCGUAAGCGCAGCAAGUAUCCUGGCGGACUACUCUUCGGUACUGCCAGAAAGGAUCAGGAUCUGGAGUCUGACAAGAGGAAGACAGAGGCGUGAGAGGGAAGUGAGUUGUUAUCUUUGGUUAUCUAGCUGUAUGAGUGUAUUGGUCUUCAUAAAGCUAGAUAACCGAAAGUAAAAACUCCUUCAAGAUCGCCGGGGAGCAUGGGAGAA